rnacentral:rRNA from 1 species
AUUGAACGCUGGCGGCAGGCCUAACACAUGCAAGUCGAACGGUAACAGAAAGCAGCUUGCUGCUUUGCUGACGAGUGGCGGACGGGUGAGUAAUGUCUGGGAAACUGCCUGAUGGAGGGGGAUAACUACUGGAAACGGUAGCUAAUACCGCAUAACGUCGCAAGCCCAAAGAGGGGGACCUUCGGGCCUCUUGCCAUCGGAUGUGCCCAGAUGGGAUUAGCUAGUAGGUGGGGUAACGGCUCACCUAGGCGACGAUCCCUAGCUGGUCUGAGAGGAUGACCAGACACACUGGAACUGAGACACGGUCCAGACUCCUACGGGAGGCAGCAGUGGGGAAUAUUGCACAAUGGGCGCAAGCCUGAUGCAGCCAUGCCGCGUGUAUGAAGAAGGCCUUCGGGUUGUAAAGUACUUUCAGCGGGGAGGAAGGGAGUAAAGUUAAUACCUUUGCUCAUUGACGUUACCCGCAGAAGAAGCACCGGCUAACUCCGUG